rnacentral:pre_miRNA from 1 species
UAUUAGAUUGGUGCAAAAGUAAUUGCGGUUUUUGCCAUUACCUUCAAUGGUAAAAACUGCAAUUACUUUUGCACCAACCUAAUA